GAUGAACGCUAGCGGCAGGCCUAACACAUGCAAGUCGAGGGGCAGCACGGUGUAGCAAUACACUGGUGGCGACCGGCGCACGGGUGCGUAACGCGUAUGUAACCUACCCAUAACAGGGGGAUAACACUGAGAAAUUGGUACUAAUACCCCAUAACAUCAGGACCGGCAUCGGUUCUGGUUGAAAACUCCGGUGGUUAUGGAUGGGCAUGCGUUGUAUUAGCUGGUUGGUGAGGUAACGGCUCACCAAGGCAACGAUACAUAGGGGGACUGAGAGGUUACCCCCCACAUUGGGACUGAGACACGGCCCAG
rnacentral:rRNA from 1 species